GAUGAAGAACGAAGCGAAAUGCGAUAAGUAAUGUGAAUUGCAGAAUUCAGUGAAUCAUCGAAUCUUUGAACGCACAUUGCGCCCGCCAGCAUUCUGGCGGGCAUGCCUGUUCGAGCGUCAUUUCAACCCUCGAGCCCCCCCGGGGGCCUCGGUGUUGGGGGACGGCACACCAGCCGCCCCCGAAAUGCAGUGGCGACCCCGCCGCAGCCUCCCCUGCGUAGUAGCACACACCUCGCACCGGAGCGCGGAGGCGGUCACGCCGUAAAACGCCCAACUUUCUUAGAGUUGACCUCGGAUCAGGUAGGAAUACCCGCUGAACUUAAGCAUAUCAAUAAGCGGAGGA
rnacentral:misc_RNA from 1 species